GGGGAUGUGGCUCAAGUGGUAGUGCGCCCGCUUGGCAUGCGUGCAGCCUGAGUUCGAUCCUCAGCACCA
rfam:Ictidomys tridecemlineatus contig088995, whole genome shotgun sequence.